rnacentral:rRNA from 1 species
UAGGGAAUCUUCCACAAUGGGCGCAAGCCUGAUGGAGCAACACCGCGUGAGUGAAGAAGGGUUUCGGCUCGUAAAGCUCUGUUGUUAAAGAAGAACACGUAUGAGAGUAACUGUUCAUACGUUGACGGUAUUUAACCAGAAAGCCACGGCUAACUACGUGCCAA